UCUUGAGAUGUGUAGACUCGUAUCAUUGAAUCACACUGAGCCUAUUGAUGAUAGCUAACAUAAGAUAUUGCUAAUGUCACAGUAGAGAUGAUGUAGGCCUUAGCCACAGCACCGACCAUCUGAUCUUCAGACUGCUAGGUGCUCCGUAGAAGUUGUGUUACCUGACAAUAGUCUUGACCUUGGAGUCCUACAGCUAUUCGAGCAGAGGUUUCCUGUCAAGAGAUUAUGAUGAAACUCACACUAGUGAUUCUCUGGGGACAUUUCUGGUCUCCGGACAAGUGGUGAUGUUCACCUUCGCCAUUUCAACCCAUCUGAUCUUUCUGUAUCUGGAUGAAUGUUAUCGAUGGACUAAACUUGCUUAGCACAUGUGUUUUGUUUUUUUUUUAAU